rnacentral:rRNA from 1 species
GGUUAAGCGACUAAGCGUACACGGUGGAUGCCCUGGCAGUCAGAGGCGAUGAAGGACGUGCUAAUCUGCGAUAAGCGUCGGUAAGGUGAUAUGAACCGUUAUAACCGGCGAUUUCCGAAUGGGGAAACCCAGUGUGAUUCGUCACACUAUCAUUAACUGAAUCCAUAGGUUAAUGAGGCGAACCGGGGGAACUGAAACAUCUAAGUACCCCGAGGAAAAGAAAUCAACCGAGAUUCCCCCAGUAGCGGCGAGCGAACGGGGAGCAGCCCAGAGCCUGAAUCAGUGUGUGUGUUAGUGGAAGCGUCUGGAAAGGCGCGCGAUACAGGGUGACAGCCCCGUACACAAAAAUGCACAUGCUGUGAGCUCGAUGAGUAGGGCGGGACACGUGGUAUCCUGUCUGAAUAUGGGGGGACCAUCCUCCAAGGCUAAAUACUCCUGACUGACCGAUAGUGAACCAGUACCGUGAGGGAAAGGCGAAAAGAACCCCGGCGAGGGGAGUGAAAAAGAACCUGAAACCGUGUACGUACAAGCAGUGGGAGCCUCUUUAUGGGGUGACUGCGUACCUUUUGUAUAAUGGGUCAGCGACUUAUAUUCUGUAGCAAGGUUAACCGAAUAGGGGAGCCGAAGGGAAACCGAGUCUUAACUGGGCGUUAAGUUGCAGGGUAUAGACCCGAAACCCGGUGAUCUAGCCAUGGGCAGGUUGAAGGUUGGGUAACACUAACUGGAGGACCGAACCGACUAAUGUUGAAAAAUUAGCGGAUGACUUGUGGCUGGGGGUGAAAGGCCAAUCAAACCGGGAGAUAGCUGGUUCUCCCCGAAAGCUAUUUAGGUAGCGCCUCGUGAAUUCAUCUCCGGGGGUAGAGCACUGUUUCGGCAAGGGGGUCAUCCCGACUUACCAACCCGAUGCAAACUGCGAAUACCGGAGAAUGUUAUCACGGGAGACACACGGCGGGUGCUAACGUCCGUCGUGAAGAGGGAAACAACCCAGACCGCCAGCUAAGGUCCCAAAGUCAUGGUUAAGUGGGAAACGAUGUGGGAAGGCCCAGACAGCCAGGAUGUUGGCUUAGAAGCAGCCAUCAUUUAAAGAAAGCGUAAUAGCUCACUGGUCGAGUCGGCCUGCGCGGAAGAUGUAACGGGGCUAAACCAUGCACCGAAGCUGCGGCAGCGACACUAUGUGUUGUUGGGUAGGGGAGCGUUCUGUAAGCCUGUGAAGGUGUACUGUGAGGUAUGCUGGAGGUAUCAGAAGUGCGAAUGCUGACAUAAGUAACGAUAAAGCGGGUGAAAAGCCCGCUCGCCGGAAGACCAAGGGUUCCUGUCCAACGUUAAUCGGGGCAGGGUGAGUCGACCCCUAAGGCGAGGCCGAAAGGCGUAGUCGAUGGGAAACAGGUUAAUAUUCCUGUACUUGGUGUUACUGCGAAGGGGGGACGGAGAAGGCUAUGUUGGCCGGGCGACGGUUGUCCCGGUUUAAGCGUGUAGGCUGGUUUUCCAGGCAAAUCCGGAAAAUCAAGGCUGAGGCGUGAUGACGAGGCACUACGGUGCUGAAGCAACAAAUGCCCUGCUUCCAGGAAAAGCCUCUAAGCAUCAGGUAACAUCAAAUCGUACCCCAAACCGACACAGGUGGUCAGGUAGAGAAUACCAAGGCGCUUGAGAGAACUCGGGUGAAGGAACUAGGCAAAAUGGUGCCGUAACUUCGGGAGAAGGCACGCUGAUAUGUAGGUGAAGCGACUUGCUCGUGGAGCUGAAAUCAGUCGAAGAUACCAGCUGGCUGCAACUGUUUAUUAAAAACACAGCACUGUGCAAACACGAAAGUGGACGUAUACGGUGUGACGCCUGCCCGGUGCCGGAAGGUUAAUUGAUGGGGUUAGCGCAAGCGAAGCUCUUGAUCGAAGCCCCGGUAAACGGCGGCCGUAACUAUAACGGUCCUAAGGUAGCGAAAUUCCUUGUCGGGUAAGUUCCGACCUGCACGAAUGGCGUAAUGAUGGCCAGGCUGUCUCCACCCGAGACUCAGUGAAAUUGAACUCGCUGUGAAGAUGCAGUGUACCCGCGGCAAGACGGAAAGACCCCGUGAACCUUUACUAUAGCUUGACACUGAACAUUGAGCCUUGAUGUGUAGGAUAGGUGGGAGGCUUUGAAGUGUGGACGCCAGUCUGCAUGGAGCCGACCUUGAAAUACCACCCUUUAAUGUUUGAUGUUCUAACGUUGACCCGUGAUCCGGGUUGCGGACAGUGUCUGGUGGGUAGUUUGACUGGGGCGGUCUCCUCCUAAAGAGUAACGGAGGAGCACGAAGGUUGGCUAAUCCUGGUCGGACAUCAGGAGGUUAGUGCAAUGGCAUAAGCCAGCUUGACUGCGAGCGUGACGGCGCGAGCAGGUGCGAAAGCAGGUCAUAGUGAUCCGGUGGUUCUGAAUGGAAGGGCCAUCGCUCAACGGAUAAAAGGUACUCCGGGGAUAACAGGCUGAUACCGCCCAAGAGUUCAUAUCGACGGCGGUGUUUGGCACCUCGAUGUCGGCUCAUCACAUCCUGGGGCUGAAGUAGGUCCCAAGGGUAUGGCUGUUCGCCAUUUAAAGUGGUACGCGAGCUGGGUUUAGAACGUCGUGAGACAGUUCGGUCCCUAUCUGCCGUGGGCGCUGGAGAACUGAGGGGGGCUGCUCCUAGUACGAGAGGACCGGAGUGGACGCAUCACUGGUGUUCGGGUUGUCAUGCCAAUGGCACUGCCCGGUAGCUAAAUGCGGAAGAGAUAAGUGCUGAAAGCAUCUAAGCACGAAACUUGCCCCGAGAUGAGUUCUCCCUGACUCCCUGAGAGUCCUGAAGGAACGUUGAAGACGACGACGUUGAUAGGCCGGGUGUGUAAGCGCAGCGAUGCGUUGAGCUAACCGGUACUAAUGAACCGUGAGGCUUAACCUU